AAUCACAUUCAUAAUAUUUAAUUCAUGUUUAGUACACAAUGCAUAUACACAAUUGCACUCUUCUAUUCAUCACAAACUGCCAUUCAUCCAUACAUUCAUUCAACAUAUAUAAAGAUUCAUUUGUUUUCUUCGCUCAAGAUAGCUACAACCAUCAAGGAAAUACAUCAGUUUGACAUACAAGACAAGUUGUUGCAAAAUUUGAUGGCUAAGAUCCUAAGAGACCAAUUGUUCGAUCACUGACUACUACAAAUUUGAUGGCAGAGACCAAUUCUUCGAUCACCAAGCCAACAUGAACUUUUGUAUGAACAAAAGGUGUCAACCAUGUUAUCAACAAAAGCGAUCACGGAGCAUCUUAGAUCAACUUGUGGACUUGCUAUUUUCUGCCAUUUGUCCCUGCAAAAGAACUUACUGCCUUGCUAGAUAAAAGCACCAAAUAGUCAUAAAUAGAAAAACCUUUACACACUCUACAGAGUAAUAAAUCAAUCAUGGCAUGCCACCUUUGAAGAAACCAAUAGAGCUCUAUCGCCAGGUAUAACAACAGCAACAAGGGACAUACUUGGUCAAGCUUGAUGUAAAGUAUCCAAUAGUUUCUGCAUAAGGUAAAACAAAUCUGGGUGUAAGCUGGCACAUAUACCGACAUAAACAUUAACAUGAAAAAUUUAUUUGUAAUCUAAAUAAGUAGCGUAGGAUCCUAAAUAUAUACCAGGAUAGUUUAGCAAUGCAAAUAAUAUAGCUGUCUGAAUUACCAUCGUCGGCCAGCAGUUCAAGUAUGGUAAUAAUACAAUGGCAUUCCUGACAUGACUCGUGGCCCUAUUUUGGAAGGUUAAAUAUGUAAAUGGCAAGCAAACAUACAAGGAACUGGGAAAGUAUCAAUGCAUUGUUUCUUUUGUAGUAUCAUGUCCGAAUAGAGAUACUAAUUUUUGGACAGCAAACUUGAGGUGGUCGCUGCUCUCAAACUGCCCAGUAAAAAUACACAAAUAAAUACUCUCUAGAAAGCUUAAGAAGUACACUAUAACUUCUAUUUGGAGACUAAGUCAAAAUUCAACGUGUAUCAAACCGAUAUUUAACCCAAAUCUUACUACACCAUAACUAUUACGAGGUGAUUGAACUGCUUUUUGAAACUGCAAUAAACGCUGGAGAUGAACAUCUUCUAGCAAGCAACAAAAUUGCCAUACCAGCAGAUACAAACAGAUGUUGCAUCCUAAUCCACCCACUAUAGCCACAAUGUUGUAGUGACCUAAACAAACUGGUACUGGUGUACUUCCGUUCUUAGUGUAACUGUAGAAUAUAGUAGGCUGACACAAAUAGGAUGUGGUCUGGCUAAAACAACAACUUUUAAACCGUCAGCAUAUCUUAUUUGGUUACCUAGAAAAUUUUCAAGUUGUUACCCCUGAGCAUUUUCCUGUCAGCAAGUUCAGUAGCUCAACUGAACAAUUAUGUUGGAAUUGAGAAUAAAAUCAUAUAUAGAAGCUCCCUUUGUACCUCUGAAUAUAUAAGGUGUAGUAGAUUAGAAACAAAUUAC
rnacentral:lncRNA from 1 species